UACGGGGGGGGCAAGCGUUGUUCGGAAUUACUGGGCGUAAAGGGCGCGUAGGCGGCCUUCUAAGUCGGACGUGAAAUCCCUCGGCUUAACCGAGGAACUGCGUCCGAUACUGAAAGGCUUGAAUCCGGGAGAGGGAUGUGGAAUUCCAGGUGUAGCGGUGAAAUGCGUAGAUAUCUGGAGGAACACCGGUGGCGAAGGCGGCAUCCUGGACCGGUAUUGACGCUGAGGCGCGAAAGCCAGGGGAGCAAAGCGGG
rnacentral:rRNA from 1 species